rnacentral:tRNA from 1 species
GGGCGUGUAGCUCAGAUGGUUUAGAGCGCGUCACUGAUAAUGACGAGGUCACAGGUUCGAUUCCUGUCACGCCCA